AGUGAACGCUGGCGGUAGGCCUAACACAUGCAAGUCGAACGGCAGCACAGUAAGAGCUUGCUCUUACGGGUGGCGAGUGGCGGACGGGUGAGGAAUACAUCGGAAUCUACUUUUUCGUGGGGGAUAAUGUAGGGAAACUUACGCUAAUACCGCAUACGACCUACGGGUGAAAGCAGGGGACCUUCGGACCUUGCGCGAUUGAAUGAGCCGAUGUCGGAUUAGCUAGUUGGCGGGGUAAAGGCCCACCAAGGCGACGAUCCGUAGCUGGUCUGAGAGGAUGAUCAGCCACACUGGAACUGAGACACGGUCCAGACUCCUACGGGAGGCGGCAGUGGGGAAUAUUGGACAAUGGGCGCAAGCCUGAUCCAGCCAUACCGCGUGGGUGAAGAAGGCCUUCGGGUUGUAAAGCCCUUUUGUUGGGAAAGAAAAGCAGCAGGUUAAUACCCCGCUGUUCUGACGGUACCCAAAGAAUAAGCACCGGCUAACUUCGUG
rnacentral:rRNA from 1 species